rnacentral:rRNA from 1 species
UACUAGAGUAGCACUCGCAUAUCAAUAAGCGGAGGAAAAGAAACUAACAAGGAUUCCCCUAGUAACGGCGAGUGAAGCGGGAAGAGCUCAAAUUUGAAAUCUUAAAGGGUUUCCCUUUACGAAUUGUAGUUUAAAGAAGUGUUUUCUGUUGGAGUUUCGGUAAAAGUUCUUUGGAAUAGGACAUCAUAGAGGGUGAGAAUCCCGUAUUUGACCAUUACUUUCCUAGCUGUGUGAUACACUUUCAAAGAGUCGGAUUGUUUGGGAAUGCAGUCCAAAAUGGGUGGUAAAUUUCAUCUAAAGCUAAAUAUUGGCGAGAGACCGAUAGCGAACAAGUACCGUGAGGGAAAGAUGAAAAGAACUUUGAAAAGAGAGUUAAACAGUACGUGAGAUUGUCAAAAGGGAAGCGUUUGACACCAGUGUUGUUUAGUUGAAAAUCAAUUCAAUAAUUUUUGAUUUUAAGUAGUAUUGACUUCAUCAGCUUGCUGCUUUCUUUUCAGGAAUUAUUGAAUGCACUUUUCAGUUAACAAGUCAACAUCAAUUUCUUUUGUUGUAAAAGGGUAAGAGGAAGGUGGCUUACGCUUCGGCGUAAGUGUUUAUAGCCUUUUACCUCUGCAAUCGGAGAGAUUGAGGACAGCAGCGUAGACUCUUCGGGGUUAGAUACACUUGUGCUAAGCUAUAGCCUUGUAUAGACAACUUGUUGACUAUGCUCAGUCAUGUAGCUUACUCGCUUGUGCUAUUUUACCUACGCUUAGGAUGUUGAAGAUAUGCGCGACACG